ACCACUUCUCGGCCUUUUGGCUAAGAUCAAAGGUAGUAUCUAUUCUGAUCAGUUUAAUAACUGAUACAUCCUCUAUCCAAGAACAGUAUAUUAAAUGGAUUUUGGGAGUAGGGAGAUGGAAUAGGGGCUUAUUCCAUCCAUCCACACAUCAACCUAGUAUUCUAGGAAGUCCAGGAAUAAAUAAAAAAUU
rnacentral:snRNA from 1 species